AUUAACUAAGACUUACGAGUGAA
rnacentral:siRNA from 1 species